rnacentral:rRNA from 1 species
CUGCCCUUCACUCUGGGACAAGCCCUGGAAACGGGGUCUAAUACCGGAUAACACUUUCCUCUGCAUGGGGGAAGGUUGAAAGCUCCGGCGGUGAAGGAUGAGCCCGCGGCCUAUCAGCUUGUUGGUGGGGUGAUGGCCCACCAAGGCGACGACGGGUAGCCGGCCUGAGAGGGCGACCGGCCACACUGGGACUGAGACACGGCCCAGACUCCUACGGGAGGCAGCAGUGGGGAAUAUUGCACAAUGGGCGAAAGCCUGAUGCAGCGACGCCGCGUGAGGGAUGACGGCCUUCGGGUUGUAAACCUCUUUCAGCAGGGAAGAAGCGAAAGUGACGGUACCUGCAGAAGAAGCGCCGGCUAACUACGUGCCAGCAGCCGCGGUAAUACGUAGGGCGCAAGCGUUGUCCGGAAUUAUUGGGCGUAAAGAGCUCGUAGGCGGCUUGUCGCGUCGGAUGUGAAAGCCCGGGGCUUAACCCCGGGUCUGCAUUCGAUACGGGCAGGCUAGAGUGUGGUAGGGGAGAUCGGAAUUCCUGGUG